GUGUGAACUGCAGGACACAUGAACAUCGACAUUUUGAACGCAUAUUGCGGUCCAUGCAAAAGUUUAAAUUAUUCAUUUAAACUGCAUGGACCACGUAUGGUUGAGUGUCGUAAAUAUUAAGCAAUUGAAAUUGUUUUUAUACAUAUGUAUAAAACAUUGGGGCUAUGGAAUUUUUUGAUUUCAUGCUCUUAAUAUGUUAAAGCACAUUUGAAUGUACCCAAUAUAUAAUAUUAAAAGAUAUAAUAUAUACAAGUGGUAUAUCAUAGUCAUUGGAUAAUUUAUCUUAAAGACAUAUUGUUAUACAGAAAAACUUGUUAUAUUAAAAAACUUUUAAUAAAAAGGGAUUAUUCAUUAUAAUGUGCUACAUUGAUUUAAUAUUAUUGCGAUCUCAACUCAUACGUGACUACCCCC
rnacentral:rRNA from 1 species